ensembl:lncRNA
GGGCGGAGGGCCCAGAGCGCCAGAGCACCGGACACUCUGCCAAAACAACGCCUUGUUCUACCUUCUGACGGCCGAGGGGACCUCGGCGUUCUGUGGUGGUCUUAGGCCACCUAAUAUUUUAUAAAUGAUUAUGACUGAUGAUUAACGCCGUGUUUGUUUAGACGCACGCUCACUAUUAGCUGUGUUGUUGCCGUAGCGAUGUGGGGGCUCCGUCGUUUAGAUGACACUCGUGGUGUCCAUGACGACCGGCGGGCCCCUUGUUUUUAGUCCCCUCCUAAACACGUCUAAUUUAUCUUUAUGUCUUAAAAUCUAAAAGCUCUUCUAAGCGCCCCACACUGACACCUGACAUGUCGUUAAAUAUUCAUAAAAUGUUAAGUAUUAAAAUAUUGCCUUUGUUGUUUUGACACGGCCAUGAUGGCAACCCCACCCCCCCACUCCCCAAGCUGAGUAUAUCUCUAAACCCCGGCUCGUUAGACAUUCGCCAAUAGCCAUCCUCUGCCUAAACAACCUCGUUAAGGCGGGGUUGAAGCGUUGACAGUAAAACCCUAAAUUCACACAAACCCUUUUUGAAUAAUUAAUCCCUGACAUGCUUUUAGUGAUGAUGAAUUUGAAUUUAAUCAAUAGAUAGAUAUAUAUCUGAGUAGUAGCUAAUUUGUAAUCACAAGUAAUUAAAAGCGCUCCUGUUCGCGUCCAGACUCAAAUUCGUACAAAUGCAAGUUAAAAAGAAAGUAAAAUCCCCAUUUCAAUUCUCCUUAAAAUGACUUAAACCAAUUCCCUGGAGAGCAGAGGCUCUUUUAGAUCUAAUGAUGGAUUUGAAAACCUUUAAAACGUCGACUCACAUCUCAGACUAGAAACCAAUCGCAGGCCCUUUAUAGCGGCCCCUGUGUUUAAAAUGUCCUAGCCAAUCAGAAGCACCGCCUAAACGGUGGGAGGUGUUUACGCGAGGGCUCGUUGGUUACUAAAAGGUCAAACCUUAAUAGCUACUGAACGAAAAGCUAAGUAAUGGAUAACACUGACAAAUUAAUGACACAAAUCUGAUUCAAUUGCACAAAAAAAGCCUAGGCUCCGCCCACCUGGCCAACAUCGACCACGUGUCAAUCACCCUGACGGUCGCCUGUCUAAAACCUCCCCCCCGAUAGGGGCGGCGCUGAGGACAGGAAGGAGCCGAUCAGGGCACAUGCACUUCCUUUAUUCCAGGAGGGAAGACAUCCUGGACGGUACUUUCGAUUUGGGAAACAAGGCUGAGUGAUAAAGAAACCAGAUCUAGCCUCUCUGUUGAAAUGUGCUUAGGAGAGAGAGAGAGAGAGAGAGAGAGAGAGAGAGAGAGAGAGAGUGAGAGCGACAGAGAGAGUGAGAGAGAGAGUGAGAGAGAGAGUGAGAGAGCGACAGAGAGAGAGAAAGAGAGAGAGAGUGAGAAAGAGAGUGAGAGAGCGACAGAGAGAGAGAGAGAGUGAGAGAGAGAGAGAGAGAGAGAGAGUCAGAGAGAGAGAGAGAGAGAGAGAGAGAGAGAGAGACUAUGGCAUAGAAGGAGUUUAUUUGCACAGAUCUAGAGUAGUGGCUCCUCUGCCCCGUCAGAAC